AAAGAAUUAGUUAAAUAAUAACACAAAUAUGUCAAAUUUGAAUUAUUACUCAAUAUUUAAAUGUAAUAUUCUUUU
rnacentral:tRNA from 1 species